GUUCGCCGCCGCGUAGGCGGUUUAGAAA
rfam:Nitrosococcus halophilus Nc4, complete genome.